CAGCGUCUCCCAGUGGGACAAGAAGACCCCGUAGAGCUUUACUGCAGUCAGUCGCUGGGGUGAGGUUACGUUUGCAGAGCGUAUGUGGGAGCCUAUGAAUACGGAUCUCUGGGUCCGUAGGAGGCAACAAUGGAACACCACACAUUCGCGACCUCCCCCCUCACCGAGGCCAAGUUGUCCGGUACAACGGCUGAUGGGCAGUUCGGCUGGGGCGGCACCCCCUUGAAAAGGAAUCGAGGGGGCCCAAAGGCUAGCUCAGGAGGGACAGAAACCCUCCGUAGAGGGUAAAGCCAAAAGCUAGCCUGACCGGAAUCAUCCACACUAAGUGUUCCGGAGGCGAAAGCCGGGCUUAACGAGCUAUCGUGUCCUUGCAGAUGAGGGCCGGUAGUGCCAGAAAAGUUACCUCGGGGAUAACAGGCUUGUCGCGGGCGAGAGUUCGCAUCGACCUCGCGGUUCGGUACCUCGAUGUCGGCUCUUCCUAUCCUGGCCUUGCAUAAGGGGCCAAGGGUGAGGCUGCUCGCCUAUCAAAAGGGAUCGUGAGCUGGGUUUAGACCGUCGCGAGACAGGUCGGUUUUUAUCUACUGGGAGUGCAGGAUGUCUGAGGGGAAAGGGCCUUCAGUACGAGAGGAACGAGGCGCUGGAGCCUAUAGUUUACCGGUUGUCUGAUAAGGCAUGCCGGGCAGCCACGCUCCGUCGGAUAAGGGCUGAAAGCAUCUAAGUCCGAAGCCGCUCCCAAAAAUAGACAUCCAUCCGGGACGCAAGUCCUGGUGAAGGGCACCCGUAAAAGACGGGUUUGAUGGAGGGGUGGUGUACGUGCCAAGACUUCGGUCGAGACACUCAGCCAGCCUCCCCCAAUAGCCCGAAAUAUCAGCAAU
rnacentral:ncRNA from 1 species